rnacentral:rRNA from 1 species
UACGGAGGUGGCAAGCGUUGUUCGGAAUUACUGGGCGUAAAGGGCGCGUAGGCGGCAAGGCAAGUCAGGUGUGAAAGCCCCGAGCUUAACUCGGGAAUUGCAUCUGAAACUGCUGUGCUUGAGUUCUGGAGGGGUAGUGGAAUUCCCGAGUGUAGCGGUGAAAUGCGUAGAUAUUGGGAGGAACACCUGCGGCGAAGGCGGCUACCUGG